rnacentral:rRNA from 1 species
UACGUAGGGCGCAAGCGUUGUCCGGAAUUAUUGGGCGUAAAGAGCUCGUAGGUGGCGUGUCGCGUCUGCCGUGAAAGCCCAUGGCUUAACUGUGGGUCUGCGGUGGAUACGGGCAGGCUGGAGGCUGGUAGGGGCAAGCGGAAUUCCUGGUGUAGCGGUGAAAUGCGCAGAUAUCAGGAGGAACACCGGUGGCGAAGGCGGCUCACUGGGACGGUAUUGACGCUGAGACGCGAAAGCGUGGGGAGCAAACAGG